rnacentral:rRNA from 1 species
GAUGAACGCUGGCGGCGUGCCUAAUACAUGCAAGUCGAGCGAACGGACGAGAAGCUUGCUUCUCUGAUGUUAGCGGCGGACGGGUGAGUAACACGUGGAUAACCUACCUAUCAGACUGGGAUAACUUCGGGAAACCGGAGCUAAUACCGGAUAAUAUUUUGAACCGCAUGGUUCAAAAGUGAAAGACGGUCUUGCUGUCACUUAUAGAUGGAUCCGCGCUGCAUUAGCUAGUUGGUAAGGUAACGGCUUACCAAGGCAACGAUGCAUAGCCGACCUGAGAGGGUGAUCGGCCACACUGGAACUGAGACACGGUCCAGACUCCUACGGGAGGCAGCAGUAGGGAAUCUUCCGCAAUGGGCGAAAGCCUGACGGAGCAACGCCGCGUGAGUGAUGAAGGUCUUCGGAUCGUAAAACUCUGUUAUUAGGGAAGAACAUAUGUGUAAGUAACUGUGCACAUCGUGACGGUACCUAAUCAGAAAGCCACGGCUAACUACGUG